rnacentral:rRNA from 1 species
UACGUAGGGGGCAAGCGUUGUCCGGAUUUAUUGGGCGUAAAGAGCGUGUAGGCGGCCAUGUAGGUCCGUUGUGAAAACUCGAGGCUCAACCUCGAGACGCCGAUGGAAACCAUGUGGCUAGAGUCCGGAAGAGGAGAGUGGAAUUCCUGGUGUAGCGGUGAAAUGCGCAGAUAUCAGGAAGAACACCCGUGGCUAAGGCGGCUCUCUAGUACGGUACUGACGCUGAGACGCAAAAGCGUGGGGAGCGAACAGG